rnacentral:rRNA from 1 species
UACGUAGGGUGCGAGCGUUAAUCGGAAUUACUGGGCGUAAAGCGUGCGCAGGCGGCUUCGCAAGUCAGACGUGAAAUCCCCGGGCUUAACCUGGGAAUGGCGUUUGAAACUACGGAGCUGGAGUGUGGCAGAGGGAGGUAGAAUUCCACGUGUAGCGGUGAAAUGCGUAGAUAUGUGGAGGAAUACCGAUGGCGAAGGCAGCCUCCUGGGCCAUCACUGACGCUCAUGCACGAAAGCGUGGGGAGCAAACAGG